rnacentral:lncRNA from 1 species
GUCUGUGCAUAAGUCUACAGGACAGUUAGUCUACAGGCGUGAACCUCUCCAGUUCUGUGUUAGCAACUUGCAUGUCAUCUCUAGUACUAAUCCGUUGGAUUUCUUUUAUUCAGAGACAUACUUUUAAAGAUCUAGAAGUCCUUCUUUUACAAAGCACCAUGGUAUCCUAACUUGUUGUCCACUCUCCUUUUGUGAAUGCAUAAGUCACCUGGCUGAUGUCGUCUGUUUCUCACUCUUCUUCCAGUGCUGCUGUGGAGUCAGCCAGCCUCAUGUCUUAGUGUUGCACACAGUUAGUUCGCACUCUCUGGGCUUCAGCCAGCUCCUUAGCACAGAGUUUCUCAACUGCCUUAAGUAUGGCUCAUAUAAUUUAGAAACUUAUUUGCUAUUCCUGCCUUCAUACCUUCCUCUACCUCUACAUUGACAUUCCCCUGAAAAAGAUCACCCCUCCAGAUCAAUGACGGAAUCAUUUCACUAACCAGAAACUGGACUUUUCCUUGCUCUCUUCUCAAUCUAACCACCAACAGCUGUCAGUUUUCUGUUGUACUGUUUGUUCUGUCCUGUCCUGUCCCUAUCUCAGGAUCUUACUUUAUAGCUAAGCUAGUCCAGCACUGUCUCCUCAUUCUUAGUUGAUCUCCAGCUAAAAUAAUCUUUCCAAAUACUGUUACAAGUCACUUCCCUGCCAAAUAUUUUCAAUGAAUCCCUGCCUGUAAAAGAUAAAAAAAAGCUCCUGGAUUGAAGUUUCUGUACAAUUUGGUGAGUUCUACUUAUGUAGAACAGAUCCACAAUAAACUAAAAAUCCAAAGGG